UACGGAGGGUGCAAGCAUUAAUCGGAUUUAUUGGGCGUAUAGGGCGCGUAGGCGGAUGGGAAAGUCAGAUGUGAAAUCCCGGGGCUCAACCUCGGAACAGCAUUUGAAACUUCCCGUCUAGAGGGUAGACGGAGAAAAUGGAAUUCCACAAGUAGCGGUGAAAUGCGUAGAUAUGUGGAAGAACACCGGUGGCGAAAGCGGUUUUCUAGUUUAUACCUGACGCUGAGGCGCGAAAGCUAGGGGAUCAAACAGG
rnacentral:rRNA from 1 species